rnacentral:rRNA from 1 species
GACGAACGCUGGCGGCGUGCUUAACACAUGCAAGUCGAACGGAAAGGCCCUGCUUUUGUGGGGUGCUCGAGUGGCGAACGGGUGAGUAACACGUGAGUAACCUGCCCUUGACUUUGGGAUAACUUCAGGAAACUGGGGCUAAUACCGGAUAGGAGCUCCUGCUGCAUGGUGGGGGUUGGAAAGUUUCGGCGGUUGGGGAUGGACUCGCGGCUUAUCAGCUUGUUGGUGGGGUAGUGGCUUACCAAGGCUUUGACGGGUAGCCGGCCUGAGAGGGUGACCGGCCACAUUGGGGCUGGGAUACGGCCCAGACUCCUACGGGAGGCAGCAGUGGGGAAUAUUGCACAAUGGGCGGAAGCCUGAUGCAGCAACGCCGCGUGCGGGAUGACGGCCUUCGGGUUGUAAACCGCUUUCGCCUGUGACGAAGCGUGAGUGACGGUAAUGGGUAAAGAAGCACCGGCUAACUACGUG